rnacentral:rRNA from 1 species
CGCAUCUGUGCAUGCAGCAUAUCAAUAAGCGGAGGAAAAGAAACUAACAAGGAUUCCCUUAGUAACGGCGAGUGAAGCGGGAAGAGCUCAAAUUUGAAAUCUUCAAGGUUUUACCUUGACGAAUUGUAGUUUAAAGAAGUGUUUUCUGUUGAAGUUUUGGUAAAAGUUCUUUGGAAUAGGACAUCAUAGAGGGUGAGAAUCCCGUAUUUGACCAUUAUUUUCAGCUGUGUGAUACACUUUCAAAGAGUCGGAUUGUUUGGGAAUGCAGUCCAAAAUGGGUGGUAAAUUUCACCUAAAGCUAAAUAUUGGCGAGAGACCGAUAGCGAACAAGUACCGUGAGGGAAAGAUGAAAAGAACUUUGAAAAGAGAGUUAAACAGUACGUGAAAUUGUCAAAAGGGAAGCGUUUGACACCAGUGUUGUUUUCUCGAAAAUCAAUUAAAAAGAGUUAGAUUUUGUUGUGUAUUGACCUUAACAGCUUGUCAUUUCAAUUUUCUUGCUUUUUUUAAUGCACUUUUCGUUUAACAAGUCAACAUCAGUUUCUUUUGUUGUAAAAAGGUCAUUGGAAGGUGGCUUUCUUUUCGGAGAAAGUGUUUAUAGCCUUUGACUCCUGCAAUCGGAGAGACUGAGGUCUGCAGCGUAGAUCCUUCGGGGUUAGAUACAUUUGUAGCUAAGUUAUAGCUUUUUAUAGACAACUUGUUGACUAUGAUUAGUCUUGUAGCUUACUCGCUUAUGCUAUUUUACCUACGCUUAGGAUGUUGAUCUGUAGUGCGUGCGC